GACGAACGCUGGCGGCGUGCUUAACACAUGCAAGUCGAACGGAAAGGCCCUGCUUUUGUGGGGUGCUCGAGUGGCGAACGGGUGAGUAACACGUGAGUAACCUGCCCUUGACUUUGGGAUAACUUCAGGAAACUGGGGCUAAUACCGGAUAGGAGCUCCUGCUGCAUGGUGGGGGUUGGAAAGUUUCGGCGGUUGGGGAUGGACUCGCGGCUUAUCAGCUUGUUGGUGGGGUAGUGGCUUACCAAGGCUUUGACGGGUAGCCGGCCUGAGAGGGUGACCGGCCGCAGUGGGACGGAGAGACGGGGCGGACUCGGAGGGGAGGCGCGAGUGGGAAGUGGAGCACGGGGGGGGGCGGACUGGUGCGGGAGCGCGGGUGGGGGACGGUCGGGGUGGGGGGUGCAACCCGCGGGGGCCUGUGCCGAAGAGGGGGUGGCGGUAGGGGAAAAGGAAGCACCGGCAAAAUACGGGGCAGCAGCCGCGUUAAUAAUGGGAACAGCACCCGUCGGACC
rnacentral:rRNA from 1 species